rnacentral:tRNA from 1 species
UCAAAAUGUAGCUUAACCAAAGNNCUUCGCUUACACCGAAAAAAUGUCUGUUUACCCAGCNCAUUUUGA